CGGUAACUAGCGUGCAGUAAAACCGCCACCUUUGUACACACGGCCGCUGCCCGCGCGGCUCCCGCCUUCCACCACAGUUUCAUCACUGUGGCUCAAGAGUGACUUCUUUUGCCUUGCUGGAAUUAGAACUCCGGACUUCAUUAUUUCCACGGUUCUCGGCCGGAGUGUGGAGGAGAUGCAGCGCAGUCGGCCACCCCUCGGCGUGUGAACGGACUCCGUCAUGGCUUCAGACAUGGCGGCAGACUCGUGGAGUGUGGGGAAUACUACAUACUGCAACCCCGACACUCUGCCUUCACUGCGUGAAUACUAUGGAGCUGUGGACCCGCUCAUCAUCGUGCUGGUGUGCACCGCCCUGGCUGUGGUGGCCGUCACUAUAGCCCUGUACUCCACCACCAUGAGGGACAUCGUCCAGCGGGCGCCUCGCGAGGUCAAGGGCGACACUGCCGCCGUGCUCGCCAUACACCCGGUGGGUGCAGUGAUCGUGUUCCUGUCGCUGCUGGUGCCACGUGCCGACUUCCUGGUGGAGGUGGUGCUGCAGGGCACCUUCGUGGUGUGCCUGUACAAAUUCUUCUGCUUACUGGUGGCGUACGGCGGCGGUGAGGAGGAGCUGACCCUCAAGCUGCGUCCAGCCGCCUUCCAGCCAAUCACGGGGCCCUGCUGCUGCUGUCCGUGCUGCCGUCUCUGCUGCUCGCCGCUAGAGGUCUCCAAGAGCAGCCUGACGAGGAUCCGGGUGCUCAUCCUGCAGCUGCCAGUGGUGCAGUGGCUCAUCGACCUGGUGCUCUUCGUCCUCCUGGCUGAGGACCAGGCGGUGUACCAGGCAGUUUACCAGUGGGUGCAGGUGGUGCCCAUGGUUUCGCUGAUGGUGGCGCUGUGGGGUGCCAACAUGUUUCUGUCGUUGCUCGGGGAUGCCCUCGCCGAGCACCGCGUGAGGUCCAAAUUCGUCGCCAUGCAGGUGGUGGUAGCCCUGAAUGCGAUGCUCAAGGCCGUCUCCCGGCCAAUAGCAGCGGCGCUGGCCUGCUACCCACCCCUCACCCCGGCACUCUACUGCCACAUGGUGGUGGACAUGGCUCUGCUGGUGAUCAACCUGGCGAUGGCUGCGUGGGGGCGAGAUCUGUACCGUCGCGAUCUGCCCAAGAUCGUCCUCACGAGCAUCCGGCGACUGAGUGGGGACGCCACCACUUCGCCGCAGACUUCACCACGCCACACCCGACAUGCGCCCGCCAUAGUAGCCGCCUAGCUCUGCUCCUCGCAAGACACCACACCAGGUCCAGCAAGCCUCUGUCGUGACAGAUAUAAACUGGCAAUGGUGCCUCUACACGCAAGAUUGUUCCAUAUUGGGCUUAAAUGACUACCUGCCACCAUAGCUGUCUGCAGGACCUCUACUUGACAGAAAAGAUCACGAUAACCACCUGACCUCACUAUAGGGGAGAUGACAACAAUGUUCACUGAAUCUAGCCCAGGCAUUAUAAUUAGCCAGUAGAAAAGGUGUCCAACCACUUCAUAUCUUUUUCAGUCGUCGACAAAACUCACUUAGCCCACCCAGACAUUGCAACUGGUCAGUAGAGUUUGUGGUAAACUAGUCUACAUGAGUUUUGGUAGUGGGCAAAGCUGCAUACUUCCAUAUCAGCAUCCAACUGGUUUUCUGUAAGUUACUCUCACUCAAAACCAGCAACCACAAUCGCGUAGAGGGAAUGAAGAACCACCACAAAGGCAUCGUGACACCAGUCUUCGCUAUUGUCUCUCAUAGUAGCUUCAUAGUAGGAAUGAUCCUCUACUUCGCUAAUACCAAUGCGCUAUUAUUAGGCAACUGCCUACGUGGAUGACAGGUCUUGUCCACAUAUCACCAGGUAUUCUCUACUGCCCAAUACCACCACCCCUGCCAAGCAACAUGGACAUACAUGGGACUGUCAACUUCUCCGUUAUUGUAUUUUCUAGAGAGGGAGGAUCGCUCUACUGCACAGACAUUACACCCUCAAUCAACAUCAGUCAUGGUAGCCACGUAGUGGUGGUUAUUAGUUGACUCUAUGAAUACUAUGAACAGGCUGAGCUGUGUUCUAGCAUGUUCAUGACUGUUCUGAAGGCAUUGCAAAGUCAGACUAACAUGGCCACCAUCAUAGUGGCUGCCCAUAAUUGUGGCUCUAUAUUAAAGAUAUCACAACACUUUAUGUAGCUUUUCCCAGUAAUAGCAGACACAUAGUAAGGGCGAAAGCUCCACUCUAAUCAUGUUGCAGUUAACUGACAUCCAUCUGUGCAGGUGCCUAAGGUCGGUGAUUAACUUGACAGUUCAGAUGCAGGUGGUCCCCAUGACAGAAGCUGUGUAGUGUGGACAGUCCAGGAAGGACUUAGCAGGUGCCAGUUACACUACCCACCUAUUGGACACGUUGACUCUGUUGAGUAAGCAUCCCCACACUUGGCACAGAUAGUCCCCAGGUUCAGACACCCCUGCAGAGGACAGUGGUUCUACUAUGCAGGCAUCAGCGCACUCAACUUACCUUGCUGUGUCAUAGUUGGCACCUAGAAAGGCCUAUAGCUCCAUACCAAAGUUAUCACCAUGCUAGACUUGCCUCAUUAAACAUAGGUAGUGCUUGUGGCUGCUCUCCUCCAAAGACAUGGAAAUGCCAGCUGCUUUUGGUCCCCACAAUAAAAACCGCUCAGUAGAGAUACUGAUUCUACUGCAAAGCUAUCACUGUAAUGGACACAGCUGGCUACUACCGUGACAAGCACCCACUUGGCAAUUUUGGUUAACUUUUCAAAAGUUUCACCAGUCCGGACUCAGCUGUACUCCAUCAGUGCAAGUGCCCAGGCGGAAUGGUGGCUCUCCUCCAAAGACAUCGUCACACUUGGCGAUCAUUGGGGAUGACAAGGGGAAGUGGUGGCGCCGCAUUGACAUGAUCCCCCGUCCUUUGUCGCCCACUCCCCCCCCCCCCCCCCAUUCCUCUCAAGGAAGUAGCUAGUACCUUGCCAGGAUGCUGGUAAUACCAUAACACAAUCUGUCCUGAUGCAGGACACAGAUGGUUGCUGUGACAGCAGUUACUACACAGUGGCUACCUAAUUGUGAUGAUACAUCCACUCCAGGGACAUCGUGACACCAAACAAAUGUCUGCGUUGAUAAGGAAGUUACUGAAAUCAUAUCUUGAGAGCCACUUCAACACACAUUUUCCGGACGAAGAAGUGCCAAACUGUGUGUUUGUGCUGGACUUAGGAUAUGGAGAUACUGGGACUAUCAUCGUGAAAAAUGUGCAUGUGACUAUGUUUCCUGUAUACAUACAUACUUGUAAGCUACAAUA